AAAUUGAAGAGUUUGAUCAUGGCUCAGAUUGAACGCUGGCGGCAGGCCUAACACAUGCAAGUCGAACGGUAACAGGAAGCAGCUUGCUGCUUCGCUGACGAGUGGCGGACGGGUGAGUAAUGUCUGGGAAACUGCCUGAUGGAGGGGGAUAACUACUGGAAACGGUAGCUAAUACCGCAUAACGUCGCAAGACCAAAGAGGGGGACCUUCGGGCCUCUUGCCAUCGGAUGUGCCCAGAUGGGAUUAGCUAGUAGGUGGGGUAACGGCUCACCUAGGCGACGAUCCCUAGCUGGUCUGAGAGGAUGACCAGCCACACUGGAACUGAGACACGGUCCAGACUCCUACGGGAGGCAGCAGUGGGGAAUAUUGCACAAUGGGCGCAAGCCUGAUGCAGCCAUGCCGCGUGUAUGAAGAAGGCCUUCGGGUUGUAAAGUACUUUCAGCGGGGAGGAAGGCGAUAAGGUUAAUAACCUUGUCGAUUGACGUUACCCGCAGAAGAAGCACCGGCUAACUCCGUGCCAGCAGCCGCGGUAAUACGGAGGGUGCAAGCGUUAAUCGGAAUUACUGGGCGUAAAGCGCACGCAGGCGGUCUGUCAAGUCGGAUGUGAAAUCCCCGGGCUCAACCUGGGAACUGCAUUCGAAACUGGCAGGCUAGAGUCUUGUAGAGGGGGGUAGAAUUCCAGGUGUAGCGGUGAAAUGCGUAGAGAUCUGGAGGAAUACCGGUGGCGAAGGCGGCCCCCUGGACAAAGACUGACGCUCAGGUGCGAAAGCGUGGGGAGCAAA
rnacentral:rRNA from 1 species